GGUGGUCCCCAUAAUUUACAAAGGAAAUUAUAUAUUACUCUUUUCAUAAAUCAUUCUUCAAUUGUGAGAAAGACUUCAGAUUCUAUAUUUUCUUGAAAGGAUAGGAACGUAGAAUUUUUUAAAGAAAGAGAUCAAGUCUUUUAGCUGAACCACAGAGGAAAAGUACAAGGAACAACAUAGAGAUUAUACCCACGUCGAUAAUCUCCGGGUAAUAGUAAAUCAGUGAUUUCUUCAAGUGAAAUAUGGAGGAAGAAGAGGAGUUCUUGGCAAAUAAGACCUGUGAGCUCGAGAAGUAGAUGUUGGACAUUAGAUAGAGUUCAAGGUAGACAGGGAGGUGAGCUUGAUCCAGAUUCUUAGUAGCUGUCAGCUGAUUGAGAGCACUCCAUUGUUCGGAGGUGCUUAUGGUUAUUCUGUUGUGUAUAUCUAUGUAUAUUUUGGGCAUGACGGAGUCUUGUUCCGCCUAUAUGUAUAGUACUUCAGUAGAGGCUCGUAGGUACGCAGUGUGGGUAGUAUGGUCUCACAGUUUUUACGUAUAUGCAUACUACUAUUUUGAUAGCCUAAGGGCUUAUGUUUAUAAAAGUACGAUUUCUAGCAUGAAUUGUAUAUGAAUUUGAUAAAGAAGAGUAUAAUGAGUAUAGUGGGCAGUAUAAUGAGCGGUGCUCGGUGGUUAUCCCCGGGUGUCCGUCGCGGCCCCUAGUCGGGUCGUGACACAACC